rnacentral:lncRNA from 1 species
UGCUAUUGUGUGCAUGAUCCUGGCCUAAUAUCCAACAAUUGGCAUUAGAGCCUUAGGUUCUUUAGGGUUCUUGUGGUGUUUGGCGGCGGCGGCAGCUGGACUUAAUUGGCGGCGGUGAUGGGAGACACAUCUCCAACUAAAGGCGAUGGGAGCAAGAGCUUGAGCUGCGGAAAGUAUACGCCGCCACCGGCUAGGAAGGCCGGCCCAAGCGAUGCGGACGGCGGCGCUGUGGUGCUCGCUACGAUGCUACCCAAU